rnacentral:sRNA from 1 species
CCUUAGUCCUGAUUAAAGUGAAAAUUAUUUUUUGUUCUGAACUUUUUCAGGACAAAAAAUGAUUGAAACGGAAAGUGGACACGAGC